UACGUAGGGGGCAAGCGUUGUCCGGAAUCAUUGGGCGUAAAGAGCGUGUAGGCGGCCUGAUAAGUUGGCUGUGAAAGUCAAGGGCUCAACCCUUGAAUGCCGGCCGAUACUGUCAGGCUAGAGUCCGGAAGAGGCGAGUGGAAUUCCUGGUGUAGCGGUGAAAUGCGCAGAUAUCAGGAGGAACACCUAUGGCGAAGGCAGCUCGCUGGGACGGUACUGACGCUGAGACGCGAAAGCGUGGGGAGCGAACAGG
rnacentral:rRNA from 1 species